AACGAACGCUGGCGGCAUGCCCAACACAUGCAAGUCGAACGAAGGCUUCGGCCUUAGUGGCGCACGGGUGCGUAACGCGUGAGAAUCUGCCCCUCGGUUCGGAAUAACAGUUAGAAAUGACUGCUAAUACCGGAUGAUGACUUCGGUCCAAAGAUUUAUCGCCGAGGGAUGAGCCCGCGUAAGAUUAGGUAGUUGGUGGGGUAAAGGCCUACCAAGCCGACGAUCUUUAGCUGGUCUGAGAGGAUGAUCAGCCACACUGGGACUGAGACACGGCCCAGACUCCUACGGGAGGCAGCAGUGGGGAAUAUUGGACAAUGGGCGAAAGCCUGAUCCAGCAAUGCCGCGUGAGUGAUGAAGGCCUUAGGGUUGUAAAGCUCUUUUACCAGGGACGAUAAUGACAGUACCUGGAGAAUAAGCUCCGGCUAACUCCGUGCCAGCAGCCGCGGUAA
rnacentral:rRNA from 1 species